rnacentral:lncRNA from 1 species
GUGAACUGCAAAAUUUCUGAGGUCUUGGUCAAGGGAGCAGAAAUUUUUGCUUUCCAGUCCUUUCUUCAUUGCAUAUAUCACCAAUACCAAGAGAAGUACUAUAUUUAAAGAAGCUCCUGCCUUUAAGACCAAUGCCUUCUACAUAAGAACUACUCAAUAAAUAUUUGUUCAACUAAUGAAUGGAAAUGUUCACUAUUAAAAUGACCACAUGAAAAUGACAUGGAAAGCUUUGACCAAG